CACGUAGUUAGCCGGCGCUUUCUCUGCAGGUACCGUCAAUCUCUCUUCUUCCCUGCUAACAGAGGUUUACAACCCGAAGGCCGUCAUCCCUCACGCGGCGUCGCUGCAUCAGGCUUGCGCCCAUUGUGCAAUAUUCCCCACUGCUGCCUCCCGUAGGAGUCUGGGCCGUGUCUCAGUCCCAGUGUGGCCGGUCACCCUCUCAGGCCGGCUACCCGUCGUCGCCUUGGUGAGCCGUUACCUCACCAACAAGCUGAUAGGCCGUGAGCCCAUCUAUAACCACUACAUAACGCUUUCCACCAACACCCCAUGCGGAGAUUGGUCGUAUCCGGUAUUAGACCCAGUUUCCCAGGCUUAUCCCAGAGUUAAAGGUAGGUUACUCACGUAUUACUCACCCGUUCGCCACUAAUCCACCUAGCAAGCUAGGCUUCAUCGUUCGACUUGCAUGUGUUAAGCACGCCGCCAGCGUUCGUCCUGAGCCAGGAUCAAACUCU
rnacentral:rRNA from 1 species